rnacentral:rRNA from 1 species
CUACGGGACGCACCAGUGAGGAAUAUUGCACAAUGGGGGGAACCCUGAUGCAGCAACGCCGCGUGGAGGAUGACGCAUUUCGGUGUGUAAACUCCUUUUAUAUGUCAAGAAAAUGACGGUAGCAUAUGAAUAAGCACCGACUAACUCCGUGCAAGCAGCCGCGGUAAUACGGAGGGUGCAAGCGUUACUCGGAAUCACUGGGCGUAAAGGACGCGUAGGCGGGUUGGAAAGUCAGGUGUGAAAUCCUACAGCUUAACUGUAGAACUGCACUUGAAACUUCUAAUCUAGAGUAUGGGAGGGGGAGAUGGAAUUAGUGGUGUAGGGGUAAAAUCCGUAGAUAUCACUAGGAAUACCUAAAGCGAAGGCGAUCUCCUGGAACAUUACUGACGCUAAGGCGUGAAAGCGUGGGGAGCAAACAGGAUUAGAUACCCUUGUAGUC